AUGCCACUGGUAGUAACCAUUAUCUUCUUCUCCCUCUGGGCUUAUGAGUUACCCCCUAAUCAUUUCAGUCUACAGAAGAGACUGAAAUCAUUCUGUAUUGUUACCUCGUCACGUAUCAUUGGCUCAUGGGAAUUUCUCUUCCUCACUUGCGAUUGGACUUCGGCAUUUGGAGCAACCUGAAAUAUAUAUUUCCAGACCAACAAAUAAGAGUGCCCACAUAUCUUGAAAGGCAUCCAUCCAAGGCUUUAGCAGUAAAAUCAUACACUCAUACUGGCAGAAACCAAACCAAGGCUUAGAAUAUUUAUUACAUGUCUUCUUGGCAAUCUCUGCUCAAGAUGGCUCAGGUGGGAAGACUAAGAAACUUGAGAUAAACACCUUGAUGCAGAUGUUUCACCCAAGCCCACUAUUUUUCUUCCUUCCAUUGCUGAAACAAAUCUCCAUAAGGCUGGAACAUACCUUUGUCUUCUUGAGAAUUUUUUCCCAGAUGUUAUUAAGAUACAUUGGCAAGAAAAGAAGAGCAACACGAUUCUGGGAUCCCAGGAGGGGAACACCGUGAAGACUAACGACACAUACAUGAAAUUUAGCUGGUUAACGGUGCCAGAAAAGUCACUGGAUAAAGAGCACA